rnacentral:rRNA from 1 species
GGAUAGCGGCGGGAAACUGCCGGUAAUACGCCAUGAUCUCUCCGGAGCAAAGGUUUACCGCCUUGGGAGCGGCGAUCGUCCUAUCAGGUAGUUGGCGGGGUAAAAGCCCACCAAGCCGAAGACGGGUAGCAGGUGUGAGAGCACGACCUGCGACAUCGGAACUGAGACACUGUCCGGACUCCUACGGGAGGCUGCAGUAACGAAUCUUCCGCAAUGGGCGCAAGCCUGACGGAGCAAUGCCGCGUGUGGGAUGAAGUACCUUUGGUAUGUAAACCACUGUCAGGGGACGGAACCAAUGAUUGUCCCCAGAGGAAGUGGCGACUAACUCUGUGCCAGCAGUCGCGGUAAUACAGAGGCCACGAGCGUUAGUCGGAAUCACUGGGCUUAAAGGGUGCGUAGGCGGGCGUGUAAGCGUCCUGUGAAAGCCCGCGGCUCAACCGCGGAACAGCAGGGCGAACUGCACGUCUUGAGGCAGGUAAGGGUUGCUGGAACUCUAGGUGGAGCGGUGAAAUGCGUAGAUAUCUAGAGGAACGCCGAUGGUGAAGACGAGCAACUGGGCCUGUCCUGACGCUGAGGCACGAAAGCGUGGGGAGCAAACAGGAUUAGAUACCCUGGUAGUCCACGCCGUAAACGAUGCGCACUAGACCGGUGCGGUUUUGACGCCGUAUCGGUCGUAGUAAAAACGAUAAGUGCGCCGCCUGGGGAGUACGGUCGCAAGGCUAAAACUCAAAUGAAUUGACGGGGGCUCACACAAGCGGUGGAGCAUGUUGCUUAAUUCGAGGCAACGCGAAGAACCUUACCUGGGUUUGACAUGCUUGGAUCAACUCCAUGAAAGUGGAGCCACAGUCGCAAGACCGGAACAAGCACAGGUGCUGCAUGGCUGUCGUCAGCUCGUGCUGUGAAGUGUCAGGUUAAGUCCUUUAACGAGCGCAACCCCUAUCGUUAGUUGCUCGGCGCAAGCCAGUACUCUAGCGAGACUGCCGGUGUCAAACCGGAGGAAGGUGGGGAUGACGUCAAGUCCUCAUGGCCCUUACAUCCAGGGUUGCAAACGUGCUACAAUGGUGCGCACAAAGCGACGCAAGAGCGUGAGCUGG